rnacentral:tRNA from 1 species
GGUGACUCAGUGAUAGAGUGCUUGCCUUGCAUGCAGGAGGCCCUGGGUUCGAUUCCUCAGCACCA